GGCAGUUGAGAUUCAGACCUUGACAGUUGUAACCGAUAGACUGGGCUGGGGCAACGCUGAUGAAAGGCAAAUUCCUGAGAGAAAAAUCACCCAGACUUUCUAGAAGUUGUUAUGAGUGGACCUGACUACCUAGAGAGAGUAAUACAGAAGCUCCGUGCCGAUCACAGCUACCUCAUUACCAUGUUCCUCCAAGAUGGCCGCCCCUGAGGAGAAUCAUCAACUGGGCUUUACGGAAGAGAGAAAUCCAAACGACCAUCAGCAACAAAUGAAAGACUGAAGUUGAAAGUUUCAAGAUUGUCAAGAAUGACGAGUUGGACUUGGUCUAGUUACUUCCACAGCAGCAGGAGGAACAUGUGUGUGACUCAGGAUAACUGGGGAAGCCUUGGCUAGGCUUUCCUCAUGUCAACCUACCACUCAAAGGGAGAAAACCUCCUGAUCAGAGGUGCCCAGAACCCAGGAAAUCCAUAAUUUUUGAAUGCUGGCCGAGGUCUGUGACCUCUGACUGAAUGGUUUCCAAGCUCCGAAUUCCUAGGUGAUGUUUUCAUUUGUUCACACUUGCUGAAGAAGGGAAAGGCUCUCUGAUUUACGUGUAAGCAAAACAAUCUAAACAGUAGGAUAAAAUCAUGUUGGAAUGGAGUUCUGUGUGGAUGCUCCUUUGAACCAAAUCAGUUCCACAACUGACCCUGUCAGGGACAUAUAAAUUUAGCAUUUUGGUGUGGAUACAGAAGACGAGAUUAACACAGAUCAAGUAACAUGGAAAUAAAAAAGGAGACAAUGCUGGAUGAUACAGGGGCAGCCAACAAGAGGAGAAAACCCAAGCAUUGGCAAAUGCCUCAUUAUCCAAAGAACACUGAGGUGUGGAGCAAAACUGUGUUGAAUGAACUGUAGAUGGAAAUUCUCUCCUUCCCACCGAGGAGCCGCUGCAGGUUGCAGACUCCCAGAAUGCCACACUGAGAAGAGGAGGGCUAAAAUUCUAGAGCAGAAUCCCUGGGGCAGCCCCUGCUGAAGAAGGGUGCAUCUGUUGAGAAUCUCAUCACCGCCCCCACCCCGCCCAGCCUUCAAUUUAGAGGAAUUUCUAGUUCACGCAGAAUGAAGACAAGAUCACAUAAGUGAGGACGACGCCCCAUUUACAAGUGUGAUUUGGAAGACUGAAGUGGAAACCUUGGGAAGGGGCCUCAGAGUAUGUCAGCUGGGGUCAGACGGGAACAGGAGUCUGGCUCAACACACAUUUAUUGCACUCCUGUUUCAUGCCAAGAAAUGUACCAAAAUCUGGGACUGUGUAACACAGCAAAGGAAAAGACUCAUCUCCAGGAAGCCCCCUUGUCUAGGAAGAGAAAUUGAAUAUCAGCAUAAGGUGGUGAAAAGCUGUGAAGGAGAUGAGUGCCAGGAGUCCAUGGAGGAAGGAUUCUAGCCUGGACAGAGUCUCCAUGAAUUGCAAGGGAAAACAAGUGGUACACUGGUAUUUCUAUUUGAUAACCUGUUCUCUUUGGAAUUCCGGUUAGAAAUCAAAGGCUUACUUGAGUUUUAAUGCUUUCGGGACUUCAAAUGCUUUUCUAUCUUCCUAAUAAUAUAUUAACAUUUUCUGAAGACAACAUAUAUGUGGAAAACAACAUUAUUUACUCAAAUAAUUUUUUUUGAAAAAUGGACCAAAAAAAAAGAAAAACCAACAAAAA
ensembl:lncRNA LINC01206 long intergenic non-protein coding RNA 1206